CCUGGCGGCCGUAGCGCGGUGGUCCCACCUGACCCCAUGCCGAACUCAGAAGUGAAACGCCGUAGCGCCGAUGGUAGUGUGGGGUCUCCCCAUGUGAGAGUAG
rnacentral:rRNA from 1 species